AACGGCAGCACGGGGGCAACCCUGGUGGCGAGUGGCGAACGGGUGAGUAAUGUAUCGGAACGUGCCCAGUCGUGGGGGAUAACGUAGUGAAAAUUACGCUAAUACCGCAUACGAUCUAUGGAUGAAAGCGGGGGACCGUAAGGCCUCGCGCGAUUGGAGCGGCCGAUAUCAGAUUAGGUAGUUGGUGAGGUAAAGGCUCACCAAGCCGACGAUCUGUAGCUGGUCUGAGAGGACGACCAGCCACACUGGGACUGAGACACGGCCCAGACUCCUACGGGAGGCAGCAGUGGGGAAUUUUGGACAAUGGGCGCAAGCCUGAUCCAGCCAUUCCGCGUGCAGGACGAAGGCCUUCGGGUUGUAAACUGCUUUUGUACAGAACGAAACAGUCUCUACUAAUACUAGGGGCGAAUGACGGUACUGUAAGAAUAAGCACCGGCUAACUCCGUGUCUGUG
rnacentral:rRNA from 1 species